AACCCUUCGGGGGGAUUAGUGGCGAACGGGUGAGUAACACGUGAGCAACCUGCCCUUGGCUCUGGGAUAACUCCGGGAAACCGGUGCUAAUACUGGAUAUUCAUGUCCUGCCGCAUGGUGGGGUGUGGAAAGUUUUUCGGCCAGGGAUGGGCUCGCGGCCUAUCAGCUUGUUGGUGGGGUAAUGGCCUACCAAGGCGACGACGGGUAGCCGGCCUGAGAGGGCGACCGGCCACACUGGGACUGAGACACGGCCCAGACUCCUACGGGAGGCAGCAGUGGGGAAUAUUGCGCAAUGGGCGAAAGCCUGACGCAGCGACGCCGCGUGAGGGAUGAAGGCCUUCGGG
rnacentral:rRNA from 1 species